rnacentral:rRNA from 1 species
AGUCGACGAAAUCUUCGGAUUUAGUGGCGGACGGGUGAGUAACGCGUGAGAAUCUGCCUCCAGGCUGGGGACAACAGUUGGAAACGACUGCUAAUACCCAAUGUGCCGAAAGGUGAAAGUUAUUUCGCCUGGAGAGGAGCUCGCGUCCGAUUAGCUAGUUGGUGGGGUAAAAGCCUACCAAGGCGUCGAUCGGUAGCUGGUCUGAGAGGAUGAGCAGCCACACUGGGACUGAGACACGGCCCAGACUCCUACGGGAGGCAGCAGUGGGGAAUUUUCCGCAAUGGGCGAAAGCCUGACGGAGCAAUACCGCGUGAGGGAGGAAGGCUUUUGGGUCGUAAACCUCUUUUCUUAGGGAAGAAGAUCUGACGGUACCUAAGGAAUCAGCAUCGGCUAACUCCGUGCCAGCAGCCGCGGUAAUACGGAGGAUGCAAGCGUUAUCCGGAAUUAUUGGGCGUAAAGCGUCCGCAGGUGGUCUUUCAAGUCUGCUGUCAAAUACCAGAGCUCAACUCUGGGCAGGCGGUGGAAACUGGGAGACUAGAGUACGGUAGGGGUAGAGGGAAUUUCCAGUGUAGCGGUGAAAUGCGUAGAGAUUGGAAAGAACACCAGUGGCGAAGGCGCUCUACUGGACCGUAACUGACACUCAGGGACGAAAGCUAGGGGAGCGAAAGGGAUUAGAUACCCCUGUAGUCCUAGCUGUAAACGAUGGAUACUAGGCGUUGCUUGUAUCGACCCGAGC